UCUGAACAUCAUUUUCCGCCUUGCUCCGCCAAAAAUGUUCAGACUCAGCCGUCCUCCUCCGCCUUCGCCACUCCCUCCUCCACCCCAGCAUUCGGAACAGCUUCGUCGACCCAAGCCUUCGGAACCCCUUCCUCCACUCCUGGCUUCGUCACGCCUUCUACUCCGGCAUUCGGAACCUCCCUGUUCUCCAAUCCGCUUUCUCAACAGUCACAACCUCAGCAGCAGGGUUCGUUGAUUCAGAAUCUCCAUAGCUCCAGCGCUAUCAGCUUUUCGACGCCGUUUGGGGCCACGCAGCCACAGCAGAAUCUAUCAGCUUCACCGUUCGGUCAGUAGCCCAGCACUCAAACUACAUUACCCCUUCGCAAAUGCUCAAUUAACAUCUCAAAUGGCUCCUGUAGCUCCUCUGCCCUUUUCUCUUGCAAAAGGUUGACAAAUGGAGGAGCAAAUUGCAGCUGUACGACAAGCAUUAUGUGCAACAAAGAUCAUUAAGGAUGAUAAUGUUCCUUGCAAGAUUGAACUCAUUGAAGAGGUACUAACUACGGAUUUUAGCAAAUUGCUCAAGGUGCAUUGACCAUAGCAAUUAGAUUGAAAUUUAUUGUGUUAUUCUUGGUUUACUCCAUCUGCUAGCAUAUAUGACCUGAAUGAGGCAUAAACUGAUGGAAUUUGCCAUGUUUAUGUUGAUAAGUCUGCUAAC